CUCAAGUGUUUUGGCGGACAGUGUUCAUUAGAUGGAACAUUGAACGUUUAAAGACAAUGUUCCACAUGUUUGUUUUGUGCUGGUGGAGUCUGACUGGUGUGUUUGGUGAUUCAGUGUCAGUGAUGGAGGGAGAUUCUGUAACUUUACACACUGAUGUUACUGAACUACACGAAGACGACGACAUACUGUGGAAAUUUGCCAGCUAAAGACAUAGUUAAAAUCAGCAUUGAGAAACAAAUCAUCUCCAUAUCUAAUUGUACUGAUGAGAGAUUCAGAGACAGACUGAAGCUGUACGAUCAAACUGGAUCUCUGACCAUCACAAACAUCACAACUGAACAUGCUGGAGUUUAUCUACUAGAGAUAAGUGGAACAAAACUGACAUCAAAAACAUUCAAUGUUUCUGUCUAUGCUCGUCUGUCUGUUCCUGUCAUCAGCAGAAACUCUUCACAAUGUUCUUCAUCAUCAUCAU